AUGUAUGAGGGGUUCCUUUGGAGGCAUUUCUUAGGUAUUAAUGAUGGAGUUUGCAGAAGAUGUUGCAAUUGGAGAGGAAUGGAAUCAAGCUCUGUGAAGUCCUGUUCUUUUCUGUUAAGACCUGAAAAAAACAAUUCUCAAACUGUUUUACCAGUCAUUUCAAGCACUUCAGUCAAUAGGGACUGGGACUCUGCAGUCCUAACAGAACUAAACCCAGAGACGAUGCCCUUGCUUUUAUCCUUAACUUCUAAGAGGUCUGCCUAAAGUAAUCUGCAAGCUUCUGGAGUGUUGAAUUCAAGUUGUAAGUAACUGACACUAUACACACAAUUAUGGGAACUACAGAAAGCACAUGUAAUAUUCACAUAUUCCCCAUAUACCUGUUAAAACACUUCCUCUAGUCAAGAUCAGCAUGCUCAUAAAUUUAAGAAAAGGCUUUUUUUUAACCAUAGAGGAACUAGUGUGUCCAGUGGUGCUUUUAUACUCUACUUCCAUGACUUGUCAGCCCUGUCUGGGUUGAUUUGCAAAGAGCAGCUCAUGAGCUAGGGACCUAUUUUCUACUGAAUGAGGCAUACUAAAUAAAAUAAAUACUGAGCCUCUUUGUUGUGAACUC
rnacentral:lncRNA from 1 species